AUUUGCCGAAGCUCGACACGAAGAUGAUUUUUCAUUCCGAAUGUUGAAAUGGCUCAAAAAGGUUUUAAAGUAAUUUUUAACGUACCUACAUAUAUGUAGUUAGCCAAGUACGCUCCUGAAGCGAAACGAAUUUAUUUCCAAAUUUCUAUAGUCGACAACGAAAAUGCUUACGAAAAAAUAUCAUUGAGUAUUCUGUCAAAGUUAAAAAAAAAAAAAAAUUAAAUUAAAACAAAAACAAACAAAAGUAUCGAAAACCAAUUUUUCUUAUCAAUCAAAAAAAUGAAAAAUGUGCAACAAAAACUGUUUUCUGUUGAGAAAAGUGUUCGAGAAAUUGAAAUAAGUAUACAAGAUUUCUAAAAACUCUCCGAAUUAUCUAGUACAGUAAUUUACGGUUCUCCUUUAAAAUAACUUCCUUCUGAAGCUAAAAAGUGAUGGGUAGGCUUUUAUUCCUGUAACCGCGAUAUUUGAGAAGCCUUCUACUGGUUGCUUAUAGCCGUUUGAACGGUUUUGACCAUUCCAAAAUGAAUUCUCUUAAGGUUUUUUUUGUGAAGAAAGAUUCAAAAGAACCCAAGUCAGGUGAAUACAAAUACUGAGAAGCUCCAGCGGCAAACCGGAAAAAAAGAUAGAAAAAAAAAACAACUAUGCACACUGUCACUUUCUUCUAAACGAUAGACGAUUUGAAAGUAAAAACAUGGAAAGCGUUUCCGGUAACGUGCUUAUCCGUUCAACAUCCUUAACCGAAUGUUUUUCUGUUUCCAAAACAUUGUCGCUCUUGCUCUCGACGAGUUCUAAGGGUGUUAUUUUUCUCUUAGCUUGUAAAAAGCUAUUGAGAGAAGAGUGCUAUCCACAAAAUAUGAAGAGCACGAAUUUCGUCCUUGUUGUUCGGAAGAAUGAAAUACACAAACAAAAAAAAAAAGAGAGAAGGGUGCCGACUACUGCCGACUUUGGAACUAUGAAUAUAAACAACAAGAGCCUUGAAGAAAAAGGAAAACUAUGUACGGCGCGCUGUCAAGUUUCAUAACUCCCAAGGGGCUGGAUCUUUUGUGAAUGCACCUUAUAGGAAGAAUAUAUAAUACAUGCCAUGAAUAUAUUUCUGCUGAACACACCACAUAGGUAUAUGUAUAUCUUCUAUUGGAAUGAAAGGAACCUUUUACGCACAAGGGAUGUCCUUAUGUGUCAUCGAAUCCCAAAAGGGUGACAAAGUCGGUCGUCGUCAUAUACUCGUACCUAUAUGGGAAUAAAAAGCUUCUAGGCAUCUAUGUAUUUUGAAUAGUAGGGACUACUAGCAUGUAUAGGCAUGCUGAGUCAAUCUCUGUGGGGUGCAAUUGCCCACGGGAUAGGCAAAGUAAUUAUAAAGUCAGUCGGUGUUUUUUUUUUCGAGAUGAAUUAGGGUGAAUUUAUUUGUCGAUUUUUUCUGCAAUAACUCUCACCCAUGGGGGGUGAGUUAGUAUACUUUCAUGCAUUGGAAUACAAGAACGUGAGAAAACAUUUGUUGCGUCAAUAUUAUGUCAAGAGGGACAUGAUGGUUUUUUUCUUUUGUUAUGAUUUGACUGAUAAGAAAAAGAAAACAAAAAUUGAUGUUAAGAAUAUAUAUAAAGUCAAUGUGACAAUCACAAUGGAGGUCAACCUGUGGUAGGUUUAUUGUUUGUUUGAAAAAAAAUAUAUUCAAUCCUUUGGUAAAAACGGAAAG